AGUGCAAAUAUGCAUGAAGGCGACCUGUGUGCUUGUUUUGUAGAAUGGAAGAGGAGCCGGAGGAAAGAAGGGGGAAGAGCAACAAUUGUACAUCACCGGCACGAAGUUCCAACAUGAAAAUGGUUUUCUCCCUUGAGGCAAGUUUGCAAAUAAUCAAUUGCAACGUUUGCAGAGCUCGGAAGGACGUGGAAUGGGAUGAGGAAAAGGAAGAAUAAAGCGCCACACAGAUAAGUUUGUUGAUCUAUUUGCAGGGUGGAUGUAAACGGUAUGGGGCAGAGUACGGAGCUUUGACGUUUGCCUUGGUUGACUGUUGCUACGGAAGGUAGUUUGGUGGUAGGUCUGGUUUGUAAUGAGGGCAGGCAUGGAAAGUGUGGGUAGAGUUGAUAGUUGGAUGCGGCGGUUUGGUUCAGUGGUCUUAGCGAAGGAAGGAAGGUUGAGACGGUCCGCAGGUUGGUUGGCUUGUCUCGGUCCUGAGCAAGUCUUUGUUUUGACGUAUAGUGCAGGCUUCGAAUGAGGAAUUUAUCAUAUUGAUCAACACGAAAGUGAAUAGUUUUUCAGGGUGACGACCAAGAAUUGUACACAACCGGCACGCAGUUCCAAGAUGAACAGCUUCUUCUCCUUUGAGGCAAGUGUGCAAAUAAUGCGCAUUAUCGAUGACAACACAUUUUAGUCUUUUCUUUGUUGUUUUUCGUUUUGGCAGCAAUCCAGACUGAAAGUGGAAAUGCUGCGCCGCUUCAAGAGCCAAGCAGCAACUAUACAGGGGGAGUACAUCUUAUUUACUUUGUUUGUGUCCGUUUCCUCACUAACUCACUGGGUAUGCACGGACUAACACUGAUUCGUGAUUAAUUUUGUGCAUCGAGUCGAGGCAACAAUGCUGUUAAACUAAAAUGUGCUUUUGGUUUUCUUUUUGAAAGAAUGGUAAGUUGUUUCAAGUGUGGUUUUAACCAUUUGAAUUAAACUUGUAACAAUGUUAAAGCGGGACAAUAUGUACAAACAUACAUAACAGAGUAAGACUUAAAUUGAGUCUAAGGCACUUUAAACAAUGUAAUGAGUCUGCACAAACUAAUAGAAGCAUGUGAAAUGUGCCCUAAAGUAUUUAUUUUAAAUUAAUUUUCCUCCAAAUCUUUCAUUGUCGUCUUCCCUACUUGCUGUGUUGCUGGAUGGAGCGAGAGGCAUCCAGAGCCACUGGACGAGCGUAAUCGACGCACACACUUGAGACCAGCAGAUAAGUAAUUGUAUCGUAUUUUUUUUGCAGGUUUGGAGAUAAACUGUGUAAUGGCUGGGCAAGGGUAACCAGCAUAGGCACACCAACGGAACAAGCAAGUGAAUGUCAAUUACAGCAGGCUUGUUUUUGUUAUUGCAGGUUGGAGGAGGAGGAGACAUUUGGGAAGGAGGAAACAAGCAGAACCAGUACGGGGAAAUAAGUGCAAAUACGAAUGAAGGCGACCUGUGUGUUAAACGGAAGAGGAGCCGGAGGAAAGAAGGGGGAAGAGCAACAGUUGUACAUAACCGGCACGAAGUUCCAACAUGAAAAUGGUUUUCUCCCUUGAGGCAAG